GCCCAGAUGGUGUAGCGGUAGCAUGUUCACCUUCCUCUAUCUAUCUAAUGAAAUGUGCAUACCGUAUACCCCUGUAUGUGCUAUAUCCCAGAUGAUGGAGUAAUGUUUGAAAGGCGGUGGGUUCGACUCCCACCCUGGGCA